GGUUAAGCGACUAAGCGUACACGGUGGAUGCCCUGGCAGUCAGAGGCGAUGAAGGGCGUGCUAAUCUGCGAUAAGCGCCGGUAAGGUGAUAUGAACCGUUAUAACCGGCGAUACCCGAAUGGGGAAACCCAGUGUGACUCGUCACACUAUCAUUAACUGAAUCCAUAGGUUAAUGAGGCGAACCGGGGGAACUGAAACAUCUAAGUACCCCGAGGAAAAGAAAUCAACCGAGAUUCCCCCAGUAGCGGCGAGCGAACGGGGAGGAGCCCAGAGCCUGAAUCAGCAUGUGUGUUAGUGGAAGCGUCUGGAAAGGCGCGCGAUACAGGGUGACAGCCCCGUACACAAAAGCGCAUGUGCUGUGAGCUCGAUGAGUAGGGCGGGACACGUGGUAUCCUGUCUGAAUAUGGGGGGACCAUCCUCCAAGGCUAAAUACUCCUGACUGACCGAUAGUGAACCAGUACCGUGAGGGAAAGGCGAAAAGAACCCCGGCGAGGGGAGUGAAAAAGAACCUGAAACCGUGUACGUACAAGCAGUGGGAGCACAGGUUUACCUGUGUGACUGCGUACCUUUUGUAUAAUGGGUCAGCGACUUAUAUUCUGUAGCAAGGUUAACCGAAUAGGGGAGCCGGAGGGAAACCGAGUCUUAAUUGGGCGUUAAGUUGCAGGGUAUAGACCCGAAACCCGGUGAUCUAGCCAUGGGCAGGUUGAAGGUUGGGUAACACUAACUGGAGGACCGAACCGACUAAUGUUGAAAAAUUAGCGGAUGACCUGUGGCUGGGGGUGAAAGGCCAAUCAAACCGGGAGAUAGCUGGUUCUCCCCGAAAGCUAUUUAGGUAGCGCCUCGUGAAUUCAUCUCCGGGGGUAGAGCACUGUUUCGGCUAGGGGGCCAUCCCGGCUUACCAACCCGAUGCAAACUGCGAAUACCGGAGAAUGUUAUCACGGGAGACACACGGCGGGUGCUAACGUCCGUCGUGAAGAGGGAAACAACCCAGACCGCCAGCUAAGGUCCCAAAGUCAUGGUUAAGUGGGAAACGAUGUGGGAAGGCCCAGACAGCCAGGAUGUUGGCUUAGAAGCAGCCAUCAUUUAAAGAAAGCGUAAUAGCUCACUGGUCGAGUCGGCCUGCGCGGAAGAUGUAACGGGGCUAAACCAUGCACCGAAGCUGCGGCAGCGAACGUAUCACCCAAGACAACUUUACGGAGUUGACGAUUGACGGAGCGAAGCGACGUCAAAGCGUUCAUUAAAGUCGAGUUGGCUUAGGGAUACGUUCGUUGGGUAGGGGAGCGUUCUGUAAGCCUGUGAAGGUGUGUCGUGAGGCAUGCUGGAGGUAUCAGAAGUGCGAAUGCUGACAUAAGUAACGAUAAAGCGGGUGAAAAGCCCGCUCGCCGGAAGACCAAGGGUUCCUGUCCAACGUUAAUCGGGGCAGGGUGAGUCGACCCCUAAGGCGAGGCCGAAAGGCGUAGUCGAUGGGAAACGGGUUAAUAUUCCCGUACUUGGUGUUACUGCGAAGGGGGGACGGAGAAGGCUAUGUUGGCCGGGCGACGGUUGUCCCGGUUUAAGCGUGUAGGUGUGUGUUCCAGGUAAAUCCGGUUCACUUUAACACUGAGGCGUGACGACGAGGCACUACGGUGCUGAAGCAACAAAUGCCCUGCUUCCAGGAAAAGCCUCUAAGCAUCAGGUAACACGAAAUCGUACCCCAAACCGACACAGGUGGUCAGGUAGAGAAUACCAAGGCGCUUGAGAGAACUCGGGUGAAGGAACUAGGCAAAAUGGUGCCGUAACUUCGGGAGAAGGCACGCUGACACGUAGGUGAAGUGAUUUACUCAUGGAGCUGAAGUCAGUCGAAGAUACCAGCUGGCUGCAACUGUUUAUUAAAAACACAGCACUGUGCAAACACGAAAGUGGACGUAUACGGUGUGACGCCUGCCCGGUGCCGGAAGGUUAAUUGAUGGGGUCAGCGCAAGCGAAGCUCCUGAUCGAAGCCCCGGUAAACGGCGGCCGUAACUAUAACGGUCCUAAGGUAGCGAAAUUCCUUGUCGGGUAAGUUCCGACCUGCACGAAUGGCGUAAUGAUGGCCAGGCUGUCUCCACCCGAGACUCAGUGAAAUUGAACUCGCUGUGAAGAUGCAGUGUACCCGCGGCAAGACGGAAAGACCCCGUGAACCUUUACUAUAGCUUGACACUGAACAUUGAGCCUUGAUGUGUAGGAUAGGUGGGAGGCUUUGAAGUGUGGACGCCAGUCUGCAUGGAGCCGACCUUGAAAUACCACCCUUUAAUGUUUGAUGUUCUAACGUGGACCCGUAAUCCGGGUUGCGGACAGUGUCUGGUGGGUAGUUUGACUGGGGCGGUCUCCUCCUAAAGAGUAACGGAGGAGCACGAAGGUUGGCUAAUCCUGGUCGGACAUCAGGAGGUUAGUGCAAUGGCAUAAGCCAGCUUGACUGCGAGCGUGACGGCGCGAGCAGGUGCGAAAGCAGGUCAUAGUGAUCCGGUGGUUCUGAAUGGAAGGGCCAUCGCUCAACGGAUAAAAGGUACUCCGGGGAUAACAGGCUGAUACCGCCCAAGAGUUCAUAUCGACGGCGGUGUUUGGCACCUCGAUGUCGGCUCAUCACAUCCUGGGGCUGAAGUAGGUCCCAAGGGUAUGGCUGUUCGCCAUUUAAAGUGGUACGCGAGCUGGGUUUAGAACGUCGUGAGACAGUUCGGUCCCUAUCUGCCGUGGGCGCUGGAGAACUGAGGGGGGCUGCUCCUAGUACGAGAGGACCGGAGUGGACGCAUCACUGGUGUUCGGGUUGUCAUGCCAAUGGCACUGCCCGGUAGCUAAAUGCGGAAGAGAUAAGUGCUGAAAGCAUCUAAGCACGAAACUUGCCCCGAGAUGAGUUCUCCCUGAGACUUUAGGUCUCCUGAAGGAACGUUGAAGACGACGACGUUGAUAGGCCGGGUGUGUAAGCGCAGCGAUGCGUUGAGCUAACCGGUACUAAUGAACCGUGAGGCUUAACCUU
rnacentral:rRNA from 1 species